AGCAUUGCCAACUCCGGAACGCAAUAAAUCAAUAAAUCAAAUCUACUUUAUACAACUCCUUUUACUCCUUUGUCAUUAAGUGCUUUUAAAAGAUACCUUGAUGAGUAAGUUAGGGCGGAGUCAGGACUACUCGCAUAAAAUAUGUGGAUGGAAACGUGGUUAAUGGCACAGUACAAGCUUUCACAGACGAUAUAAGGACAAAAGCAGAGUCAGAUACGAUGUAUAUCCACGCAUAUGGUGUGUACAGACGAUGCCAUUACUAUUUUCACUUCCUGGUCUAGCGCCCAACCGAAGAGGGAUCGAGCGCGAAUACAUACACUACGCGUUUCUGUGGCAGCCUGGGAGCAGGAGAGAUCUACUUUGCUCAAUACAGAUCUAACUUUUACAGACAACUAAUACGUAUCGGAGAACAGGAGAAAGACAUCGGAAACCCUUAGAAGCCAGCUUAGUGAACUAGCACAAGGGGAAGGAAAAGGGAGGCCGUAGUACAUCAUAGACCAGGCUGCUGCUGCUGUACUCGGGGACAGGCUCUCCCUCGGACCCUGGGCUCUACCAGAAAGACAGAAGCAGAGAGGCUGUCCAGGUCCGUGGUGCUGCCAUGGCCUGUGAGGUCGCUGUGUCCCACUGGUGAGGAGGGUCAUCAGAGGACAAGAGACAUGGUGGGACAGAGGCUUGGAGACUGCACUGAAGCUUUCUGUAGUAACCAUGGAAACAGUAUGGAGGAACCUGGCCUGCAUUGUUGUCAUCAUCGUCAUGGUUGCCACCAGGGUUGCAGAAAGUCGGACAGCUGAGAAUUUCACAGAGUCACAAGUGGUUCAACAUUUCCAGUCCCGGUCCAUCUCUCAGACGGUCCUACAGAGGCCCAGUGAGCAGCUCCAUUCAGUGGGAAGGGCCUCCUCUGAGCUGAGCCACACUCCAUGGCAGUGGUUCUGCUGAGCCUGAACCGUUCCCUCACAAAUCAACUCCAGAGACAGACAGCCACGUGCCCUCCCCCUCAGCUCUUCUCAGCCAGACCAAUCCCCUUUAGGCUUGGACAUAAAUACCCAGAGUGUCCAUGACUUGUCAUUCAGAACAAGGCACUGAUUGUGUAUUUCCUAUGCUUAACCUCUGCACCCUGCGCAGUCAUCUGUUUCCAAUAGUCUGCCACACUGCUUCCUUAAGCAAAGCUCUGGAAGGACACUUCUAACCCCAACAUUAAAACCAUUUCCACUGAUAAUGGAUGGUAAUCGUUUGUAUGAGUUAUCAUUAGUCACAUGUAGGUCGAAGUGGUCUGGUAUAAUUCCUUACAGCUCCACUAUUAGAUCCCUCCAUACUAGUCAUGUCACCCCCAAUGAAUAUUGACUCCUGGUCAAGUGGAACAUGUAAUCCCACUGUGAAUGGUAACCCUUUUUAGUUAUUCCAGAUUAAGACUUUUAACGAAAAACAGGGAAUGAUAAAAUGGGAAAUUUGCUGAGGUCCUGAAAUCUGCCUAUAUAUCCAGUCACAAUUCUUGACAGGCAGUUGAGUAUAUUUGGCUAAAGUCUGUUUAUUUAAAGGAAAACGGGGCAACUAUGCAGACAUUCCAUAGUUAGAGAAUUGUGCUUUUUCAACAUUUUCGAAGAUCUACCUAUUUCCUAGAAAUUCAGGAACAAUGAGGUAAGACAUUGUGUGUGGCGUUAAGCCAUUUAGUUCAGUGUUAUUGAACCAUCGCACGGAGUGUAUGUAGAAAACGCUCUCUGGUUGAGGUGUGACAGGCAAGGCAAGAGUUAGGAGUAGAGGAACUGCUGACAUGGCCCAACUGUGGAGGAGGCAUAUUAACCCUUUCAGCCAGGCAUGGAUGAGUGACUAAAGAGAGGGAGCCCAGCCUCACCACUCUGCCCAGACUAGAGAUGUACAGCUGCAGCGCAUCUGUGGCAGCGAGGGGGGAGAGAGGGAGGAAGGAGCCCUUCUCUGGGAAAGCUACAGUAAAAAGGGCCACUGUUCUCAUUCCCCUCUUUUCUUAAAGAGGCUAAUUGAAGGUUUCUUUCUUCUAAAAGCUAAAAUAAACAGAACCCUGGAUAGUGCUUAAUGGCAGUUUCUUUUAUAAAAGGUAAGCACUCUGCAGACUUUUAUUAUUUUACGGGCCUCUCUUUAACUAGUUGGGUUUCUUGAUGAGUAAUGAUAGCUCCCCCCUUGUCAUUAGAUAAUAGAUCAAAAGAAUUGGAGGAAUGGUUUGUGCACCAGUGGCGUCGAGCUGGGAGCAGCAUUGUAUCAGCUGCACGCCUGGCGUUCUCUUGUGAUAACUUUAGUCCUGUGUGAUGACCUAUGUACGGGUGGUCUCAACCGAAGUAGGGGACCCGGUCGAGGUCCAGAUACCACGCAACCCCAAGCAACACUCGUACCGUAUUUAGCCAACGGCACAACCCUAUUUUCCAUUGUACCAGCCAUAUUUCCCUUUUGAAGUAGCCUGCACAUGUUGACCCAGUGUACUGGGAGGGGGCCGGCAGCAUGACUGUAGCCUUAUGAAAGUAACGGUGGAGCCCAGACAGUCAGCCCAGCUGUCUCACACUCAUUCAUUAGGCAGGCUUAUCACUAUGUGGCUGUUUCAGAUUAGACAGUCGCAGGACAAAGCCGCACAGGUAAGGCAGAAAGAGCAGCUGUGCGGCUGUGAUGCCGUGGUGGGCUGGAGGAGGGGAGAGUGGGGGUACUGUACACUAGAAAUUAGGCCUAAUUAGAUAUUUAAAUGAUUGGCUUUGUCUGAAAACUGAACUCCAAGUCCCCUCCAGACCUCUGGGAUGCUUUCCUGUCCCAGGUCCUUAUGGCCAUGUGAGAAUACCAAAUUUUAUGUGGGGCAAUUUGUUAUGGUUGUCUGAAAAUCUUGCAGGGAGAGUAAUUCAAAGCGCCUUUUACUGACUGUUGCAGAAUGUGCUGAAGGAUGUGAAAUAGGGCUGGGGUUUGGAGGGGUCUUUGGGGCUGU
rnacentral:lncRNA from 1 species